AAAAGGCAUUAUAAGUCUAAGGGACAAUUAUAAUGCCUUUAUGAGUUAAACUCUACUUUCUGUUUGAACUUUAGAGUACCUAUUAUAUUCUAAGUUUAAUUUAUAUAUCUGGGUACCUUUGUGCACAUUUUUAAAAAAUAUUAAUUAUUUUGCUUUUCAGAAAAAUAUCUUUUUGUUUAUAAAAAAAUAACUAAAGAGAUCAUAUCAAGUAUAAAUCAACCUAGUGUUUAGCACUUUGAGCUUAGUUUGACUAUACGUCUACAAGUAUUGAAUAAACUUCAUUUUUUUUUUUGUUAUAAAAAUGAAGAUAUCACAUUGUAUAUUGAGUUUAGGAUAGAGGUGUUGCCAAGUUUAUUUAUAUACAAUAAAUACAAGAGUGUUUAUAAGAAUGAUUAAGUUAUAUCUUGUUGAAGUUAUCUUUGGUAGUUUGUCUAUGUUGGUAUAUAUGUAGUUUAUAUAUAGGUGAUUCCCUAGUGACUAGUUUAUUAUUUAUGUAUGGUGCCACCUUUUAUUUUCCUGUUCAGAUUCUGUG
rnacentral:lncRNA from 1 species